GGGAUAUACGGAUUGACGGGAACCCGCACAAGCGGUGGAGCAUGUGGUUUAAUUUGAAGCUACGCGUAGAACCUUACCCACUCUUGACAUCUUCUGCAAAGCUAUAGAGAUAUAGUGGAGGUUAACAGAAUGACAGAUGGUGCAUGGUUGUCGUCAGCUCGUGUCGUGAGAUGUUAGGUUAAGUCCUGCAACGAGCGCAACCCUUUUCUUUAGUUACUAUAUUAAGUUAAGGACUCUAGAGAUACUGCCUGGGUAACCAGGAGGAAGGUGGGGACGACGUCAAAUCAUCAUGCCUCUUACGAGUGGGGCAACACACGUGCUACAAUGGUCGGUACAAAGAGAAGCAAUAUGGUGACAUGGAGCAAAUCUCAAAAAACCGAUCUCAGUUCGGAUUGAAGUCUGCAACUCGACUUCAUGAAGUCGGAAUCGCUAGUAAUCGUAGAUCAGCUACGCUACGGUGAAUACGUUCUCGGGGUUACCCCCCCCCCGAAA
rnacentral:rRNA from 2 species